UAAGGAAUAUUGGUCAAUGGACGCAAGUCUGAACCAGCCAUGCCGCGUGAAGGAUUAAGGCCCUCUGGGUUGUAAACUUCUUUUAUAGGGGAAGAAAUGCGACGGUUCUCCGUCACUUGUCGGUACCCUGGGAAUAAGCACCGGCUAACUCCGUGCCAGCAGCCGCGGUAAUACGGAGGGUGCAAGCGUUAUCCGGAUUCGCUGGGUUUAAAGGGUGCGUAGGUGGGCAGAUAAGUCAGUGGUGAAAUCUUCCGGCUUAACCGGGAAACUGCCGUUGAUACUAUUUGUCUUGAAUAUUGCGGAGGUAAGCGGAAUAUGUCAUGUAGCGGUGAAAUGCUUAGAUAUGACAUAGAACACCAAUUGCGAAGGCAGCUUACUACACAAUCAUUGACACUGAGGCACGAAAGCGUGGGUAGCGAACA
rnacentral:rRNA from 1 species